rnacentral:rRNA from 1 species
UGGGGAAUAUUGCACAAUGGAGGGAACUCUGAUGCAGCAACGCCGCGUGCGGGAUGACGGCCUUCGGGUUGUAAACUGCUUUCAGCCAUGACGAAGCUUUUGUGACGGUAGUGGUAGAAGAAGCACCGGCUAACUACGUGCCAGCAGCCGCGGUGAUACGUAGGGUGCGAGCGUUGUCCGGAAUUAUUGGGCGUAAAGAGCUUGUAGGCGGUUUGUCGCGUCGAUAGUGUAAACACGCAGCUUAACUGUGUGCCUGCUGUCGAUACGGGCUGACUAGAGGAGGGUAGGGGAGAAUGGAAUUCCCGGUGGAGCGGUGGAAUGCGCAGAUAUCGGGAGGAACACCAGUGGCGAAGGCGGUUCUCUGGACCUUUCCUGACGCUGAGAAGCGAAAGCGUGGGUAGCAAACAGG